CACGUAGGGUGCGAGCGUUGUCCGGAAUUAUUGGGCGUAAAGAGCUCGUAGGCGGUGUGUCGCGUCGGCCGUGAAAACCUGCAGCUUAACUGUGGGCUUGCGGUCGAUACGGGCAUCACUGGAGUUCGGCAGGGGAGACUGGAAUUCCUGGUGUAGCGGUGAAAUGCGCAGAUAUCGGGAGGAACACCAGUGGCGAAGGCGGCACUCUGGGCCGGAACUGACGCUGAGGAGCGAAAGCGUGGGGAGCGAACAGG
rnacentral:rRNA from 1 species